GCCCCGUUGGUCUAAUGGCAGGACGGCCGGCUUUCGACCGGUCAGCAGGAGUUCGAUUCUCCUACGGGGUA
rnacentral:tRNA from 1 species